rnacentral:lncRNA from 1 species
GGAAGAUCCAUGUAUUUUGGUACAUUUGUUACCAGAAGAGUAACCAUCUAGACCACAUCAUCAGAGUUUCCUUGCAAUCCCUGGCCACAGAUCACCCCUGCUAGGCCAGUGGGAGGGGUAGGCUGAGAGUGUUAGAAGAGUUGGUUUGUUUAACUCCAGUAGUUUUACUUCUCUUGGCCAAAAAAAUGACCCCCUAGGAUUUCCACCAGAUAGGUCACAAGAAAAAGCUCAGGGAUAAUCCAUGUCAAACUUCUGUUGUACAUGCUAUGUGCAAAUAACAAAUGCCUUUAAAGAGUAAGUCCAUAUGAUGAUAUGGUCAUUGACAUCUAGAAUCCAUUUACUGUCAUUGUCACAUCCUGGGCCCUCAAAUAGUUUGCCUUUUGUUCAAAGAAAAAUACUAUAUAUAUAUAGUCAUAGGGAAGGUUUUUAUUUUUGGCAUUUCUCAAUACAAGGGCCCUUCAUCUCACUUAUUAAAAAUAAUAUUUUAUGUAUUAUGUUAUAUGCCUAGAUAUCAACUGAGAGGAGAUCACAUAUGUGUCAGAAGGUCUUUGCAUUGUGUUUGUUGUAAGGUACUGGAUUUGUUGUGGUCUCUUUCAUGUUCUCAUAUCACUAUCCCACUGAUGUAGUAAAGCUUAUUUCAAAAAAGACAUUAGAUUAUUCUGGCAUUACUUCUUCCAGAAAGCCCUCACUCGAUUCUAAUGAUUCUAUUAGAAUCUCAAAGCCAAAUCUUUGGUAAUCAUAUUAGACACUUAUCCAUUGGUCAACAGUCUUCAGAAACUGAACUCAGGUUCAAGAGCUCAGAUUAAGUUUCCUCAGUUUUCUAGGAUAUCUCUUGUCCUACCAAAGAGACUUAAAAAUAUUUACAAACAGUAAAUAGUUGAAAAAAAUCAAGCCAUUUUCAACUGUGUCAAAUGAUUCUCACCAAAACAUAAGCUCUCCCAUCUGUCUCUUAAAGUAAUAUUUCCCUAUAGCUCUUUGAAACAUUUCCUUCUCUUGCUUAGAGAUAUAAACUUUCCUUGGUCUUUAUUAAAUUGAAAUAAACAUGUUAGUUCUUCUUUUUGUUUUUCUGAUUGAGAAUAUCACCACUGUGCUUCUUUAACAAUUAAUGGGUUGAAUAAGAUGUCUUUGUGACUUGCUAUAUACUUCCAAGGGAUAGUAUACUGGAAAGUAAAAAUCUAGUUUCAAGAAUGGCAUAUUUGUCUUAAAAAGGAAAAAUCGAUCAUAUAAUAACAUCUGGUAUAAAUUCUGACUCCUUUUGCAAUAUCAUUCUUCACAUGACUCAAUUAAGAAAAAUAAUUGUCUCCAUUUUGUUUUAUUUCCUUUUUUUCCCCACAGCACGCAGAAUACUUACCAAGAGCUGCUAUGUCAAAAUGAUCUGGGAACCGGGUAGUUUGGGGAGCUUUCUAUUCACCAAAAUCUCCUAGCAGCUUUCAUUUCCAUUUCUAGCACUGUAAGAUGAAGGAGUAAAACAAACCAAACACUUCACAUUACCAUUGAAGUCUUCUCUAAUCUAAUUAAAUUUGUACUUCAGUGAAUUCUUCAAGUCUUAACUUUUCUGAAGAAGCAAUAGAGGUUAACACUCUUCUUUCAAAAAACCUAGACCCAAAGUCUUUUGUAAGUUUUCUCCAAUACUUAAGUCCUACAUGCCUUUCUGUUUGGUUUCUCGGGCUCUGGGCUUGUGAUGAUAUUUACUUUCACUGCCAGAGGACUACAGGCAGAUUGGAAGAGCUGGCGUGAGAAAGUUAAAGAAAUUCUGCUGAGAAAGAAAAAGUGGAGAGAUAAGACUUACCCAGGACAGAGACAUUUCAUGAGAAAAGUGUUUUAAGCCAAGAAAAUUAAGAUUUAAGGCUGAGCUGGGCAUCUGUAAUGCCAGGUAGUCAGGAGGCUGAGGCAGGAGGAUCAUGAGUUCAAGGCCUUGGGAAACACACUGGACCCUGUCUCAAGAAAAAGAAAAGAAAAAAGCCUGAAACUGAGCCAGGACUGGGGAUCCAAAGCUAAAGGGCUUUUUAUCCAGUUACCAAGAAAGGUGUGCUGACAGUACUAGAUUUUCGGUACAGAAUGGAAAGAAAAUAGCAGUAGCAGGAUGAAACAAAAAUGUAAUUCAUCUUGUCAUACUUUUAUUGAACAUCUACUUUUUAUGAGUAGGCAAGAGAAUAAGAACAAGGGAGGGUCACUUCCUUCAUGUAACUUGCAACUUAGUUUGCAUAACUGCCUGUCCUGUACUUCAGAAGUCUGUAGAAGAACAACUCGUGCUUCAAACUGAGCCAAACUGAAAGACAUAAAACUAACUAUAUUGUGUAUCCCCACAAUUCCAUCAUACAAGAAAAGUGGUGUUCAUUCAGGAGAAGUUUUUUUGUUGUUGUUGUUGGGUUUGUUUUUUUUUUUUUCCAGGAGACAGUGGGCCAUGUCUAAAGAGAAUUUUAUUUGAUAUAACUGGGAAAAGAGAGGCUUCUAGCAUCUGUGGGUAAAGGCCAGGGAUGCUCCUCAACAUCUUGCUGUGUACAGGACAAACCCCACAGCAAACCCUGAUGUGGCCCAAUAUGUCUGGAGUGCCAAGGCUGAAGAACCUUGCACUAGAGUAAAUGGCUUUGCACACUUUCAGCAACUGAUCAGGCGUGGCCACUGCUUCCUGUGUAGCUUGACGCAUUAUGGGGAUGAGGGUCAUGAUACAAGAAAAGCAAAUGGGGGGAAUGCAUGAGAAAUUCCACCAUUCCUUUGGCCACUGCAGCAGAAAGUUACCCAAGCUGCAAUGAAACAGCUCUGGGAGUUUUUUGUUUGGAUAAAUUUCAUCAGAGUAUGCACUCAGGGAAUACCUGCUCCUCUAAAAUUAGUAGAAGCCAAACAUCAUCAGAUCAGAGGAUAAAUCAGGUGCAAUGAACACCAUAAAACUCUUCCUGAACUAAACAGAAAUGAUUUACACAUCAUGUAUGUCCCUGCCAGCUCCCAGCAGUGUGGCUAAUUGAGAAUGAAUAUUAUCUCCAUCACAGGUGGACAUUUGAAGGGCAAAAUUGGGUUCUGAACUAUAGUUGCUUAUAAGUAAACAAACAAAAGCCAUAUCAUGUUUGUGUGUAUUUUAAGAAGAUUAUAUGCAUCAAUUUACUCCAAAACAUUCAUCAUUAAAAACAAGUUAAAGAUGUGCCA